rnacentral:rRNA from 1 species
CCUACGGGCGGCAGCAGUAGGGAAUAUUGCUCAAUGGGGGAAACCCUGAAGCAGCAACGCCGCGUGAGUGAAGAAGUAUUUCGGUAUGUAAAGCUCUGUCAGCUGGGAAGAAAGAAAUGACGGUACCUGACCAAGAAGCCCCGGCUAACUACGUGCCAGGAGCCGCGGUAAUACGUAGGGGGCAAGCGUUAACCGGAAUUACUGGGUGUAAAGGGAGCGUAGACGGUUAAGUAAGUCUGGAGUGAAAGGCCGGGGCCCAACCCCGGGACUGCUCUGGAAACUAUUGAACUUGAGUGCAGGGGAGGUAAGCGGAAUUCCUAGUGUAGCGGUGAAAUGCGUAGAUAUUAGGAGGAACACCAGUGGCGAAGGCAGCUUACUGGACUGUAACUGACGUUGAGGCUCGAAAGCGUGGGGAGCAAACAGGAUUAGAUACCCCAGUAGUC